rnacentral:rRNA from 1 species
UACGUAGGUGGCAAGCGUUGUCCGGAUUUACUGGGCGUAAAGAGCGCGCAGGCGGUCGUUCAAGUCGCGUGUGAAAGCCCCCGGCUCAACUGGGGAGGGUCACGCGAUACUGAUCGACUCGAAGGCAGGAGAGGGUAGUGGAAUUCCCGGUGUAGUGGUGAAAUGCGUAGAUAUCGGGAGGAACACCAGUGGCGAAUGCGACUACCUGGGCCGAUACUGACGCUGAGGAGCGAAAGCGUGGGGAGCGAACAGG